rnacentral:tRNA from 1 species
GAGCUAAUUUUGAAGUUUUGAAAACUUUUUUUAGAUUUUUUGGUCUUUAG